rnacentral:rRNA from 1 species
CACAGGAGAGCUUGCUCUCUGGGUGACGAGCGGCGACGGGUGAGUAAUGUCUGGGAAACUGCCUGAUGGAGGGGGAUAACUACUGGAAACGGUAGCUAAUACCGCAUAACGUCUUCGGACCAAAGUGGGGGACCUUCGGGCCUCNCGCCAUCAGAUGUGCCCAGAUGGGAUUAGCUAGUAGGUGGGGUAAUGGCUCACCUAGGCGACGAUCCCUAGCUGGUCUGAGAGGAUGACCAGCCACACUGGAACUGAGACACGGUCCAGACUCCUACGGGAGGCAGCAGUGGGGAAUAUUGCACAAUGGGCGCAAGCCUGAUGCAGCCAUGCCGCGUGUGUGAAGAAGGCCUUCGNGUUGUAAAGCACUUUCAGCGAGGAGGAAGGGUUCANUGUUAAUAGCACUGUNCAUUGACGUUACUCGC